CUCCCACGAGCAGAGAACAGAAAACAAAAAAACGUGAGAGAGUGGGAAUAAACGCGAAGGCUCCGCCAUUGUGCGAAACCCAGACGAAUUACGGUGUAAUUAAUCUUCUCGAUCGUGAAAAGCUCGACGAUGGGAAGUACCUCGGGAAAUUUCUCGGAUUACGCAGGGUGCUGCACGUUCGCCGAUGUUAAUUCCUUAUCACCGCAAGAGUUUUAAUCAAAACGCCGUGAUCUCGUUCGGUGCAGAAAGUAUUUACAUCCAUUUACAUCCGUCUGUUUACGUGACCAGUGUCUAACUAGCCGACUCGGACUUGGCCUCCGCCAAGUUCUCACGGAACGUUCUCCACGGAUCGUCAGCCAGUGUUCACCGCGGAGAAUUUUCGAGGGAUGUUACAGAUUCUACGUUGAACGCCAGCGAGGGAGCACGCCGCUCGAGGAUUCUGGAUUACCAACGUGCGCCAUAUUUUCAUCGAGUUUUCACUGUUGGCCACUCGGUGUGAAAAAAAAAAGACGCGUUCGCCUGUGAACAAUCGGCCGUGAAUCGAAAGCAUGGAUUAAUUCGCGGCUGAAUGGGAUCGCCGCCGGUGCGUCCGACCUCUCUCGUCGAUCGUAGUAUCUGUUGUCCGAAUUUCACCAGUCCCUUUUUCUUCCUUUUUUGCUUUCGAUCGUCGUUUCUCCCCCCCCCCCCCCCCUCCAUUUUUCUCUAUGUCUUGCUGUUCUUUCGACGAGAAGCUCAAGUGAAAAGUGAAACAACGUUCAGCUCGUCGACGUUCGUCGGCCGUCCUCGAUCUUGGGAUAAUAGUGUUAUUAUAGGUCGCUUUGUACGCCGCGAUGAUUCGCCUGUUUCCUGCUUGAUGAAUCUCCACGAACUUCAAAGGAGGCGAACGGAAGAAAGGAACGGUCCCGAGGCCUCGUAAUAGAAUUCAGCUCGUAAGAAAGGAGGAGAAAAGAAGAAAAACGCAGCGAAAGAAAG